ACGUGUUCAACUCUCGGCCUAUAAAACCCUAAGCCAGUGACCAUCUCGAGCUCUCAUCCUUCGAGUUCUCUCGGGUUCCAUCGAAGACCGACGCGAAGAUGAUUGAUGAUCAGGACUUGGGAUUCUUUGCCAACUUCCUUGGCAUCUUUAUAUUUGUUUUGGUCAUUGCAUAUCAUUAUGUGAUGGCAGACCCAAAAUACGAAGGGAACUAGUGCAGUCGUUUUGCUUGAAGUUUAUAUGAAUAUUAUCGAAGAGAGAUUGUCUGGUUAUUUUAUCUGUUUUACUUAAAUGAAUUUUUACCAGUUUAGCGAAUUCCAACUAUAGAGGAACUCAAUGUACCAGAUGACUCUUAAUUAGAAGUUUUUUUCCAUAGGACAACUAUUGUUUUUACUUUUUAUUUGCGAGUUUUUUUUUCCCUCCCUCGUUUGGGUGUUGAUGAUCAGAUGCUUUAAGGCAUUAUAGAAAACGUGAUGGUUGUUUAUUGUGUUGCA